AGUGAACGCUGGCGGUAGGCCUAACACAUGCAAGUCGAACGGCAGCACAGUGAGAGCUUGCUCUUACGGGUGGCGAGUGGCGGACGGGUGAGGAAUACAUCGGAAUCUACUUUUUCGUGGGGGAUAACGUAGGGAAACUUACGCUAAUACCGCAUACGACCUACGGGUGAAAGCAGGGGAUCUUCGGACCUUGCGCGAUUGAAUGAGCCGAUGUCGGAUUAGCUAGUUGGCGGGGUAAAGGCCCACAAAGGCGACGAUCCGUAGCUGGUCUGAGAGGAUGAUCAGCCACACUGGAGCGGAGACACGGUCCAGACGCCUACGGGAGGCAGCAGUGGGGAAUAUUGGACAAUGGGCGCAAGCCUGAUCCAGCCAUACCGCGUGGGUGAAGAAGGCCUUCGGGUUGUAAAGCCCUUUUGUUGGGAAAGAAAAGCAGCAGGUUAAUACCCCGCUGUUCUGACGGUACCCAAAGAAUAAGCACCGGCUAACUUCGUG
rnacentral:rRNA from 1 species